rnacentral:rRNA from 1 species
AUGCCUCGGCCGCUGCUGGCAGUGGCCGCCAUGGUGCUCGUGCUGGCCGCCGCUGGCGCCCAUGGCUUCGAGAUCGAGGAGGCGACCUUGGCCAGCAUCCAGCUCGGCUUCAACAACGGCAGCCUCACCUCCGUGGAGCUCGUCCGCUUCUACCUGGACCGCAUCCGCGGCCUCAACCCGCUCCUCCGCGCCGUCAUCGAGGUCAACCCGGACGCGCUCCGGCAGGCCGCGCGCGCCGACGCAGAGCGCCGCUCCUCUUCCUCCGGCAAGUGCGUGACCGCCGGCGGGCCGCUGCACGGCGUGCCCGUCCUGCUCAAGGACAACAUCGCCACCCGCGACGCGCUCAACACGACCGCCGGGUCCUUCGCUCUCCUCGGCUCCGUGGCCAGGCGGGACGCCGGCGUGGUGCGUCGGCUGCGGCGCGCGGGCGCCGUGGUGCUCGGCAAGGCCAACAUGGACGAGUGGGCCAACUUCCGCAGCCUCGCCGGCACCGACGGCUGGAGCGCGCGCGGCGGCCAGGCCCGGAACCCGUACGUGCUGUCGGCGAGCCCGUGUGGGUCGAGCACGGGGUCGGCGAUCGCGGCGGCGGCGAGCAUGGCGGCGGUGACGCUGGGGACGGAGACGGACGGCUCGAUACUCUGCCCGGCGUCGCUGAACUCGGUGGUGGGGAUCAAGCCCACUCUGGGGUUGACCAGCCGGGCCGGGGUCGUCCCCAUCACACCACGCCAAGAUACCGUCGGGCCGAUUUGCCGCACAGUGACGGAUGUGGUGCACGUGCUGGACGCCAUCGUCGGCUAUGAUGCCCUCGAUGCAGCAGCCACGAGCACAGCUUCCAAGUACAUCCCCGAUGGCGGAUACACGCAGUUCUUGAAGAAAGACGGACUAAACGGGAAGAGGAUCGGCAUCCCCAAUGGGUUCUUCAACUACGCAAAUGGGACCGUGCAGCACACUGUUUACCAGCAACAUAUAGACACAAUGAGGAAACAAGGAGCAAUAGUGGUCGAGGACCUUGACAUAGCGAAUCUAAGUGUCAUAUUGGAUUCCCUUAACAACGGCCAAGAGAUUGCAUUAGCAGCAGAGUUCAAGUUAAGCCUCAACGCAUAUCUGUCGGGCUUAUCCUACUCUCCGGUUCGAACGCUUGCAGAGAUCAUAGCUUUCAACGAUGCACAUCCCGUUGAGGAAAAGAUGAAGGAAAUUGGGCAGAUCAUCUUCCUGGUGGCCGAGAACACGACCGGCAUUGGUGCCGUUGAGAGAGCGGCGGUCAGUCAGCUGAACAAGCUGUCCGCCGACGGGCUAGAGAAGCUGAUGAGGGAGCAUAAGCUGGACGCGAUCGUGACGCCCAACAGCGCCGCGUCCCCUGUGCUUGCCAUAGGUGGCAUGCCCGGCAUCACCGUGCCCGCCGGGUACGGCGCGAUGGGGGUGCCGUUUGGUCUCAGCUUUGGCGGGCUGAAGGGGUACGAGCCAAGGCUGAUCGAGAUGUCGUAUGCGUUUGAGCAGGUUACCACGGUCAGGAAAACCCCCACGUUCUUGCCAUAG